rnacentral:tRNA from 1 species
ACGGGUGUAGCUCAAUUGGGAGAGCAGCGGUCUCCAAAACCGCUGGUUGGGAGUUCGAGCCUCUCCACCCGUG